rnacentral:lncRNA from 1 species
AAACUAGAGGCUCUAAAGAGCAUGUGUCGCUCACCUUGGUCUAUGUGAAUAUUAAACAAUGGACACAGAUGGAUUCAUGACAAAAUUGUGUUUUGGUGAUGGUGAUGUGUUUGUAGAUCUUACUUUAUUAAACAUUCUUGCUGCUUACAAUUAUCUCUAUCUAUAACAGUACUUUCUGUGGAAAAUGUUAUUGAAAAUCUUCAAAUUUUAAGAAAAUUGUUAAAAAUUGACUAUGAAGGGCAAUAACUCCUUAGGGGGUCAAUUGACUAUUUUGGUCAUACUGACUUAUUUUUAGUUCUUACUUUGCUGUACAUUAUUGCUGUUUACAGUUUAUCUCUAUCUAUAAUAAUAUUCAAGAUAAUAACAAACUAGAGGCUCUAAAGAGCCUGUGUCGCUCACCUUGGUCUAUGUGCAUAUUAAACAAAGGACACAAAUGGAUUCAUGACAAAAUUGUAUUUUGGUGAUGGUGAUGUGUUUGAAGUUCUUACUUUCUGAACGAUUUUGCUUCUUACAAUAUUAUCUAUAAUGAACUUUGCCCAUUAGUAACAGAGAACUAUAUUUGGUAAAAAUUUACAUAAAUUUACCAAAUUAAUGAAAAUUGUUAAAAAUUGACUAUAAAGGGCAAUAACUCCUUAAGGGAUCAAUUGACCAUUAAGGUCAUGUUGACUUAUUUGUAGAUCUUACUUUGCUGAACAUUAUUGCUGUUUACAGUUUAUCGCUAUCUAUAAUAGUAUUCAAGAUAACCAAAAACGGCAAAAUUUCUUUAAAAAUUACCAUUUGGAGGGCAGCAACCCAACAACCAGUUGUCCAAUUCAUCUGAAAAAUUCAGGGCAGAUAGAUAUUGACUUGAUUAACAAAUUAACUUCUUGUCAGAUUUGCUCUAAAUGCUUUGGUUUCAUAGUUAUAAGCCAAAAACUGCAUUUUACCCCUAUGUUUUAUUUUUAGCUGUGGCGGCCAUCUUAGUUGGUUGACCAAGUCAUGCCACACAUUUUUUAAACUAGAUACCCCAAAGAUGAUUGUGGCCAAGUUUGGAUUAGUUUGGCCCAGUAGUUUCAGAGGAGAAGAUUUUUGUAAAAGAUUACUUUAAUUUACGAAAAAAUGGUUAAAAAUUUACUAUAAAGGGCAAUAACUCCUAAACAGGUCAACUGACCAUUUUCGUCAUGUUGACCUUUUUGUAGAUCUUACUUUGAUGAACAUUAUUGCUGUUUACAGUUUAUCUCUAUCUAUAAUAAUAUUCAAGAUAAUAACCAAAAACAGCAAAAUUUCCUCAAAAUUACCAAUUCAGGGGCAAACCAACAACGGGUUGACUGAUUCAACUGAAAAUUUCAGGGCAGAUAGAUAUUGACUUGAUUAACAAUUUAACUUCUUGUCAGAUUUGCUCUAAAUGCUUUGGUUUCAUAGUUAUAAGCCAAAAACUGCAUUUUACCCCUAUGUUCUAUUUUUAGCUGUGGCGGCCAUCUUAGUUGGUUGACCAGGUCACGCCACACAUUUUUUAAACUAGAUACCCCAAAGAUGAUUGUGGCCAAGUUUGGAUUAAUU